rnacentral:lncRNA from 1 species
CAGGAGCGGGAGCCGAGCCUCGCGGCCCGGGGCACGGCGCCGCCUGCCCCUCCCCGGCAGUGCCUCCCGACCCCCUGCCCUCCGCUGGGACAUGGCCUGAGGCCCCGCCCGCCGCCCGGGACCCCUCCCCCACGCUGCCCCCGGACCCUCGCCCCAGGACCGCGGGGUCUCUUCCCGGCCCCGCCGCCCGCCCCGGCGAGAACAGGCCCGGCGGGCAAGGCGGCGGCGGACCGAGGGAGGCCUGGCCCGGCAGCGGGGAGAAGGGUGCGGCGCAGCCCGAGUUUCCCACCUUUUAUCCUGGCCCAGACGCGGCUGGGGCGGACGGGACCUCUCGCGCUCUGCCUCCUCCUCUUGCUUCAUGGAGCCAUGCGCCUGGGUGGGGGCUCCCGAGAGAAGCUGGCCUGCGGGCGGGCCGGACGCGCUGCGCGGACGGGACGGGGCGAAGGAGGCCGGCAGGCGGAGGAGGAAGCGGCGGGGCGGCGGCGGCGGCGGCGGCCGGGAAGAACUAGAGGUAUUCCCCGGGCGGCUGGAGGACUGAGUCGAGCCGGGACCCGAGUCCUCCGGUAUCCCAGCAGCCACCGGAGGCAGUGAGGUAAUGGAGGAAGAAUGUAGGGAGUCCUCCGGUGGACCACACUCCUUCUAGCGAGCCGCGGAAACCAUAGAGAUCAGGGCUCAGCCGGAGGGCCGGCCCACUGCUGUCACGUGGCCUCCAUCCGUGCGCUUUAUUGGCUGGUGCUGGCUUUACGGGGUUGAAUUUUGGACGCUGCCUGCCAUUCGUGGGACCGAGUUUCAGGCAGCUGGAAUAAAGAGAGAUAUCGGGGGAAAGCCGCGAGAAGGCCAGCGUCCCUCGCUGGGAGCAGAGCUAGCCGAGUAGGGCGCCCGGCUGUCAAACUGGCCGGCGCAGUGCACGCUGGGCCGCCCCGGAGCGAUCGCAGAGCCCGUCGGGAGUCGUAGUCCCGGACGGGCCCGCGGCAUCGUCCGCGACGCAGCUCGGGAUCCGGGUCGGGGUGUCGGCCGGGUUGCUGCCGGGCACCGUCGAGCGUUAGCCACCCAGCAUUGAGCUGCCAGCGGCUGUUCUCCCUAAGCACCCUCGCUCACGUCGCCUCGCCUCGCCUGACCGGCCGCAGCCUUGGAUACCAGCCUUAAAUCGAGCCGACUACGGCCCAGCCCCGCCCGCGGCGAGGUGCGCGGGGUUCGGUGCGAGCCCCUCGCCCCUGGCCGGGCCAGCCUCUUGAUGCACCGGGGACGGGCGCGCCCAUCCGACUCUUCGAGGGGCGGCAGGGCCCCAUCUGUGUCUUUCGCUCUCGAGCCCCCAGCUAGAGUUGGCUUCAGCGGAAUACCUACUGUGCGGGAUUAUUCAACAAGCCGAUUGAUCACAUUCUUCAGCUCUAGCAGUGCAAAGGCUUCACUGAAAAAGAACAUUACAACUUUUUUGAAAGAAAUUUGGGGGUAAAUUUAAUUUUAAAUACUGAUUUUUGAUAACAUUUGAUCUUAUGACAGCAUUUGUAUUUUUAAUUACAGAUAGGAUUACACUAAAAGUCAUUUCUGACCUGCUCCCUUACCCUUAUGGCUAAAAUAAACUGCUAGGCCCUGAAGCAAAGGCGAGCCAUGUUCUAGAGCAAUGUCUUUCUUGUAUUAAAAUACAGCCCCAUGCUCACAAAAAAAAAAAAAAAAAAUUUUGGAGUGUAAACAUAUACAUCAUCUUAAUUUGAGUCCUUAUGUGUUGACGGUGUGCAGGGAAGAAUGGGAAAGUAACUGUAAGUGGAGCCCAGAAAGAACUAACAAAUUCAUGAAAAAGUGACAUUAUUGCUGGUCUAUUUUUUUUUUAAUUUUCUGCUUCCUCACACUCUCCCAUACUAAAUGAAUUAUUUAGUGGUUUUUUUUUUGUUUUUUUUUUUUUGUUUUUUUUUGUGAUACGGAGUUUUGCUAUUGUUGCCCAGGCUGGCACGAUCUUGGCUCACCGCAACCUCCGCCUCCCAAGUUCAAGUGAUUCUCCUACCUCAGCCUCCCAAGUAGCUGGGAUUACAGGCAUGCACCACCGCGCCCGGCUAAUUUUUUGUGUUUUUAUUAGAGACGGGGUUUCUCCAUGGUGGUCAGGCUGGUCGCAAACUCCCGACCUUAGGUGAUACGCCCACCUCGGCCUCCCAAAGUGCUGGGAUUACAGGCGUGAGCCACCGUGCCCGGCCGACAGGUGUUUUUUAUGAGUUACAGACUAUGUGCUUUCAGAAUGAGGCAACUGAUUUAAGGAUGUAAGCAUAAUUUAAGGAUAUUGAAAAUGAUAUAGGAAUAAAUUUGUUUAGUCAUUCAUGGAUUUAUUCAUUUUCAGAUGACUAUGUGUGUGAAUAUUUAAGAAUUCUAAAACCGCAUGGGAUUACUUAUAACUGUAUAGGAGCCUAACACGAUAAUGGAAUCAGAAUAUACUUUGCUGAAGGUAUGAGGCUUUUAACUGAAAGUCUUCUCUCUACGUUUUUAUGUCUGUAACAAGAAUCCACUGAAGACCUACAUUUCCCGGAAGGUUAACAGCCCCCUUCUCAGUUUUCCUGGUAAAGUGUUUUUAUAUUGGUAGAAUACCUUCUGUCACACUCUAUAUUUUUCUUAUCUCAAGUAGAAAAAAUUUUUGCCCUUUUGCUUGGGACUGUUAACAGCCCUGGUAGUGGAAAAGUAGAAGGAAAUGAUUCUGUGAAUUUUCUGUUAUAUAAAUUUUAGCCAGUUUAGGACUUUUGAAUGAGGGGCCAUACAGCCAAGGAUUUAGGAUUUCAGCUCAGGAAAGAAAACUACAUAGGUGUUUAAUCGUGUCCUAGCCACUUAUUAGCUGGGUAACUUUGAGCAAGUUUUAUACAUAUCCUUCCCAUGAGUUUUUCAUUUCUAAUACUGGCUGUGUAAUACAGUAUGUUUCAUAGGCUUGCUGUAAUAAUCGAUGGGAUGUAUCUAAUAGUGUUUAUUUUACUGUAACUGGGCCACAGUUAGGAAGUUCUCAAUUAAAAUUAGCUGUCAUUAUUCCUAGUAUUAAUAUGGUGAUGAACAGCUAAAGAGCAUUUAAAUAAUUAUCAUUAAUAUGGAUAAAUUUUGACCAUACCUGAAUAAAUAUUUAUAAUAUAACUGUUGAGAGUAUACAAGUUUAAUAUUUUAGGGAAAUACAAUGUCAAAUUCUAUCAAGCUCUAUUCUCAAACUAAAACAAUAGCAGUUUGCUUUCAGAUAUUUUGAAUAUUAUUGUGACAUUUCCCCCUUCUACCUUUCUGGGACCUUGGACACAGGAACCAUGUAAGGGUAAAUAGUCUAGGUCUUCGUUGUGGGACAGGGGUGAUAUACUACAGUUCCACAGGGGCUGAGCCAGGUUUCAAGGGUGAGAUAGAGAGCUGAUGGUAAAAAUAACAAUGAGAGCAAAGGCCAAAAUGUAUGGAGUAUUUAUUAUGUGUCAGACAUUUUUCACUAAGCAUUCUAGUACAAUAUUUCUUCAGAUCUAUGAAGAUCUUAAUCUUAAGUAGUAAAUGGUUUUAUUAUAACCACUAUACAAAAUAGAAACACUAACAUAAAAAGGUUAAAUAAUCUGUUUAAAUUAUCUUGGAUUAUCAACCCAAUCAGCUGUGUCCUCAGAACAGAAGCUGGUAGCACUACACUGAACUAUACCACACUUGCAAGCCUUCAGAGGAAAAUUCCCUAAGAGAAAAUGGUAUCUAUGACUCAAUAUUUCUUCCCAUACCCUCAGUGACUUACGGUAUUUAUUUACUAAAUGCCAAAGCAGAUAGUCCAAUAGGAAAUACGUAGCUAAAUGGCCUGCGAAGAGAAGGGAAUGUCAAAUAACAGGCAAAAUAGAAUCUGACACCCUAGGUCUCAGCAAGUGUUUUGAAUGGACAAUAAAGAAAGUGACUAGAAUGUAACCUCUGAAAAAAUGUUGUGAAGCACCAAUGGCCUUGAAAAAAUCUAGGGAGCUGAUGUAAAGGACAUCCACUUCAUAAUGACAAUUAUUGAACAAAUUACUUGUUGGAGAUGGAGUUGCAGACAAAACAAAUAUUUACCACUGCUUUAAAAUACAUUUAUUGUACUCAGGAGAAGAGUCUGGAACUGUGGUUUCAGAAUGAGCUUAUCCAAAAGUAAGAAGAGGACUGGGGCAUACCUUUUAAAAUAAUAAUGAUAUAUUUAUAAUCAUCCUAGUAUGAUUUAUUUACCUUUUAGUAAAUCAAGUUCUCAGAAAACUAAAGUAAAAAAAUCUUAACAUUACAUAUGCAGGACUUAAUCUGAAUAAUCAUAAAUUUUCAUAAACUUAAUUUACAUACCACACCAUAGUAGCUGUGAUAUAGUAAAUUAAUAAGUUUUUUGUACUAUGGUGUAGCUCUUUCAUCCUAAGAAUAAAAAAGAUUCUAUUAUGUCAAAAGACAUGCAUCUGGAUGGUUAAAAAAAUCCAAUCAUACAUAACUGAAGAAAAUGUAGGUAUUUUAGUGGAAUAAGAAUGUGAUAUAUGAAAACAGAAAAAUAAAUAUCUUCAAUGUUACUUAAAGAAACAGAAUUAACAAAGAUGUAUCAUGGAAGAGAGGAUAGUUCUGUAAAAACACGUAAAAUAACUUUCAAAGAUGAAAAUUUUACAUAUGUAAAAACAUUUGUCAAUGAAAGUAAUAAUAAUUCCAUUCAUGCAUUUGUUCAUGUAUAACCAAUAACUUACUUGUGAUGCCAUAGAAAAAAUUCAAGCAUCAAACUGAAAAGCAAAUUUUAAUAGGUAAGAAACUAGUGGCCUUUAAGCUGACAAUAUAUUUGUUUGAAUAAAAAAUAUUAUUAUUUUAAAAUAAUCAAAUUAGCAAAAUACAAAAAAAAGAACAUUUCACAUGAACAUCUUAAUUUUUGGUAUGUGUUUAAAUAUCAGGACAUUUACUCAUAUUCUUCAUAAACAGAGUUCAUAAGUCUUAGUAGAUGCUGCCAUGUGUAGGCGGGUUGUCUUCUCUAAUUAUCCUCAGUCCCCACCAUUCCAUAGUGCCCCCAGUAGAGAUAUUACUGACAUUUUUCAUUUAUUGCCAUAAUUUAGCUGUUGUUUUUCACAGUCAGCUUGCCUUCUUUAUUUUAAUAUUUAUAUACCACGUAGGCAUCUCAGUGUUUCACUCUUGCUAUGAGACAGCCAUAGAUCUCUUUUGACCUAGAGUUUUUUAUUCUCUUUGUUUUUCAAAAUUAUUUUCCCUAAAAGCAUGGAACCUAUGAGCCUCCAAAUAGUGCAUUUAAACUCAAUCACCUCUAGAAAACAAUGCUAAACUAUUCAGAAAGAAUGAAGAGAAUAAGUGAAUUCUCCAAACCCAGAGCUAAUGAGUGCCAGCUCUGAAAAUGAGGUCCUUGAUUCUUGACAUCUGGCCUAGUGUGCCUAGGAAGUAUAAUCAGUUACUCUGACUCAGUCAUUUUAAUAAUUGAAGUAAACUACUUAACAGUUAAACAUUAUAUACUUAAAAUACUUAAAUUAGCUUAGAUAUAAUCGAAGAAUUUCACUUUUUAACUCCAAAUAAUGAAGUGUUUGGUUGUAGGGUAUUAGAUCUUUCAUGGAAGAAAGUAGUCCCGUAAGUCUAAGUACAAAUUUCAAAUGUAAAAUAAAACUGAUCAAGCCAGAGACCAGGUUUGGCAAAAAGUAUCAUUUGAUAUGACUUGUAAAAUGUCAAUUAUUGUGAACAAUUUUAAAAAGACCUCAUCAGACCAUAUUGCAUGUUCUCGUAAAGGGGAAAAGAAGUAUAUAACAGCAUGUACUGAAUACUUUAUACCCAUUAUACAUCGGGCUUUUUAGAUUCAUUCUACCAUUUAAUUUUUAUGGACAUGCUGGGGAUACAGUAUUGUUAUCAUCCUUAUUCUUUAGUGAGAACUGAGAUUUACAAAAGAAUAAGUAAAUUUUCCAAAAUUAAUUACUGAUAAUGUGUACACAGACCAUUUCCAAAUUCAUGAGAUAAUUGCUGUUUUAGUUACUUUGGGCUGUUAAAACAAAUUACCGUAGACUGGGUGACUUAAUCACAAAACGCGUGUUCUCACAGUUCUGGAGGCUGGAAAAUUUAAGAUAAAGGUGCUUGCACAUCCAGUGACUGAUGAGGGCCUGUUUCUUUGUUUGCACAUGGCCAUUUUCUCAUUGUAUACUGACAUGGCAGAGACUGAGAGAGAGAAAGAGAUUAUCUCUUUGAUGUCUCUUCCUAUAAGAGUAUUAAUCUCAUUCACCAACUAAUUACUUCCCAAGGGCCCACCACUGAAUACUAUCACACUGGGGACUAGGGUUUCACCAUACGAAUUUUGAAGGCACAUAGACAUUCAGUUUUAGCAACUGCUAACAAUAUUACUCUUACACAACCAUUUUUCUCACUUAAAUAUUUUCAAUUAUUUAAUAAAUGGAAGCAGUGGGAUUACCUUGGUAUGGCCAUAAGAAUUUAUCUGGGAGAUGUCUAUGUGUGUGUGCAUGUGUGUGUGUAUGUUUAUCGUGGGGAAGAAGUUUGUGAGUAGAAGCAGCGGAUUGAGAAUCUGGAUAAUAAGAAAAUAUUCUAUUGAUCCUGGUGAUUUGAAUGUACGAUAGGAGCUGGUUGUCAACUGAUUUAAUCAGUGGGUAUUUCAGUAUGAGGCAUAGUUGGUGACUGAGCUUUCAUGUGGUAAUCUGAGGUGAAUAUUGACAUAGAAUUAGAAUUAUAACUCACAUAAAUUCACACAAAAACAUUUUUACAUUGCCUACUGAUUUUUAUACAUAUAACCAAGAAAUAAAGUAUAUGGGGGCCACCUUUCUCCAGGGAUUUAUAGGGUAAUUAGAUGAACUCUACCAAUAAUUAUAAAAAUAAGAACUGAAAUAACAAAUGCAUAUUCUGAAUUACAAAAAUCAUUCAAAGUAACAAAAAGCCUAUAUCUUUGAUCCCAAUAACCUAUUUUAAUUUUCUUUUUAAAAUAAAAGUGUUAGAGGCAAAAAACAGCCAUAACUAAACCAAGUACAGAUAAAGGAAAUAAGAAUGAGAAACAGUGUAUGUGUGUGUGUAUGUGUGUGUGUGUAUAUGUGGGCAUGCCUAUAGGUAUAGUUGUGUGUGAAUUUAAGUGAACACACUUACUAAUUGAAUAAAAUACAGUAAGUGU